GUCUACGGCCAUACCACCCUGAACGCGCCCGAUCUCGUCUGAUCUCAGAAGCUAAGCAGGGGCGGGUCUGGUUAAUACUUGGAUGGGAGACCGCCCGGGAAUACCGGGUGCUGUAGGCU
ensembl:rRNA 5S_rRNA 5S ribosomal RNA